CUAGGUCCUAACCUUUCUUUCUGUUAUUUUUAUCGGCCCCCACAUCCUGCUCUCUCUCGCUCUAUCUCUCUGUCUCCACCAUUCAUUCACUCUCAACACCCUCCAUAACCACUAACCCCUCCAACCGCUAACUGCAGUACACACACACACACGCAACAAAUGUAAACACAUUCAAACCUUUACACACACACGCAUGCAAGUCCGUAUCUGCAUCUUCAGUCAAAAACAAACUUCCAGUCAAAUUGGGUUUUAUGGACAAGGAGGAAGGAGAGAAGAUGACUACUCUCAGAACAACAGUAGUAUUUUUACUGGGUUUCUACACCUUCUGCCAGGAGACAAGAGCCUCAGUCCAAGGAGCCUCAGUCCCAGGAGCCUCAGUCCCAGGAGCCUCAGUCCUAGGCAGACCGUUGCUGUACGGCCCCUCAACAGCCCUAGAGAAGACUGUAGAAGAAUUCCAGUGUGAAGUUCUGCGUUACCCUAAAGAAGAGUCCAUCCUCUACCAGCUAUUCAGGGAAGGUGACCGGUCCAAGGCCUUAGGCUUCUACAGUGCUCUGUCUGGUGAGAUGGCCAAUUUCCCCCUGUACAUCACUGCUUCCUACGAGGGCUACAUGGUGUGUGUAGCCAGCGUCCAGAACAACACAGUAAUACAACCCACCGUCAGUCAAAGACACCACCUCAGAGUAGUCGACCCAGUCAACGGUGCAGAGGUUGUAGUCCAAUCAGGGUCUGUGGAGUUCUACGAAGGGAAGCCACUCUCCCUACGUUGUAACAUCGCCAAAGGGACCCACGUCUCCUACCAGUGGCUGGUGGAUGGGAAGCCCCUCCCCCUGUCUCCUUCACACAAUCAGACACAGGAACAACUCUUCAUCUACAGGAUGGUGCCCCAGGACAGCGGGGAGUACACCUGUGUUGCUACCAACCAACUCAACAUCACCAAGGUCUACUCCUCCAGGAGCACUGCCAAGGUCAUCAAGGUCAAAGAGCUCGUGUCUGAACCAGACCUCCUCUUCCUGGUACUGAAGGAAAGAGACGGGACCUACUUUGCCCUCGUCACGUGUCAAUCACUCAAGGGGACUCCGCCCAUCACCUUCUCCCUCUACAGCAGGUCAGAGUUCAUUAGCACGGAGACGGUUGACGAGCGAUUCGCCACGUUCUCUAUUCCAGUGGUUCUAGAUCUCCACAUGGGCUUUCUACAGUGUCAGGCGCAGAACGGAGACAGGGUGGUGUACGGUCAGUGGACGGCCAUGCACGUUGUUGCAGUAGGUGGAGCUGUGACGAUGCACUACAACACCGACGUGGGAGAAAACUUCUCCAUUGUGGGCCUGAGGUUUUACUGUUCCGUGGAGAGGGGAACCUUUCCCCAGUACCGCUGGUUCCUCAACGGAACUGUUCUAGAAGGCCGUGGAGAGUUCUACUGGGUGGAGAACCAGCCGGAGCAAUCCAUUUUGUUGUUAUCUGUGGGGAGGAGCAGUGCCGGAACGUACCAUUGUGAGGUGUCCGACAGCUUUGAUGGCACUACGGUGAUCAGAAGUGAGGCGAGGUACAUCGAUAAAGAAGUGUUGAACCACCUCCCUACCACGGUGGUGGCUGUUGUGUUCGGCUGUUUCCUCUUCCUGGUUACCUUGGUGACCACCUGUUGUUUCAUUGGUCUGCUGUACCAGAAAAGACAGUGUCUUGUUGAAAAGUCUACGCUGGAUCUCAAGUUGGGUCUGGAGAUGCACAACAUAAUGGUGUCUGAUGAUGAUGAAGAGUUCCUGGGUCGCCAGUGCAUUAUGGUGGCCGAGAAUGAUAAAAAAGAUGAAGAGGAAUACAUGGAGGAUGACGGAGUGGUGAGAGCAGCCAGGAUCGUUGACUCAGAUCAGGAGGAAGUAGAAUCGACAGACGAGUGGCUGCAGCUACUCUAGGAACUGAAGAACACCUUGGAGGAUGAAAUUCCACAAAAUAACUUUUGAAUUCUACAACCAUCUAAAAAGAAGCGAUUCCUACACAUUCCAUCACAAAUCCCUCCCCUACAGAGAGAUGAACCCAGAGCAGAGGUGAAAUACCAGUGUGUGAUCACAGCAGCAAGAUGUGUGGCCCGUUGCCAUGAGAAAAGGGCAGCCAGUGGAGCACAAACAACAUUGUAAAUACAACCUGUACUUGUGUUCAUUUAUCUUCCCCUACUAUUCGUACUACAACUAUCUGCACGUUGCUAAAACAUUGUACACAGCUGAUAAUAUAACACUUGAAAUGUAUUUUUCAAACCUUUGUGACUGCAAUGUUUACUGUUCAUUUCUAAUCGUUUUUUGUUAAUAUUGUUUUGUCUUCUCGCUUUUGUUUGUUGUUUAUAUCACUUGCUUCGGCAAUGUGAACACAUGUAUUCCAUGCAAAUAAAAUGAAACUGAAUUAA